GCUGGCGGCGUGUCUUAACACAUGUCAAGUCAAGGAGAAAACAGGAGCUUGCUCCUGUGAUUAAACUGGCGAACGGGUGAGUAACGCGUAGGCAACCUGCCUCUGUGACCGGGAUAACAUCGAGAAAUUGAUGCUAAUACCGGAUGACAUUAGAUAUUCGCAUGGAUAUUUAAUUAAAGGUGUCGCAAGUUACCGCACAGAGAUGGGCCUGCGUUCCAUUAGCUAGAUGGUAGGGUAACGGCCCACCAUGGCGACGAUGGAUAGCUGGUCUGAGAGGGUGAUCAGCCACACUGGGACUGAGAUACGGCCCAGACUCCUACGGGAGGCAGCAGUGAGGAAUAUUGCGCAAUGGACGAAAGUCUGACGCAGCAACGCCGCGUGGGGGAUGAAGCACUAUGGUGUGUAAACCUCUGUAGACAGGGAAGAACGGCAUAUGUUCGAUAAGGUCAUAUGAUUGACGGUACCUGUAAAGUAAGCUCCGGCUAACUCCGUGCCAGCAGCCGCGGUAAUACGGGGGGAGCAAGCGUUGUCCGGAAUUACUGGGCGUAAAGGGCGUGUAGGCGGCUUGGUAAGUCAGAUGUGAAAGCCUUCCGCUUAACGGAAGAACUGCAUUUGAAACUGCCGGGCUUGAGUGCGAGAGAGGGUAGUGGAAUUCCCAGUGUAGCGGUGAAAUGCGUAGAUAUUGGGAAGAACACCAGUAGCGAAGGCGGCUACCUGGCUCGUAACUGACGCUAAGGCGCGAAAGCGUGGGGAGCAAACAGGAUUAGAUACCCUGGUAGUCCACGCUGUAAACGAUGGGUACUAGGUGUUGGGUUCGAUACGUCGGACUCGGUGCCGCAGCCAACGCAUUAAGUACCCCGCCUGGGGAGUACGAUCGCAAGGUUGAAACUCAAAGGAAUUGACGGGGGCCCGCACAAGCGGUGGAGCAUGUGGUUUAAUUCGAUGCAACGCGAAGAACCUUACCGGGGUUUGACAUAUAAGCGGAAUGUACAGAGAUGUGCAUGCCUUUCGGGGCGCUUAUACAGAUGCUGCAUGGCUGUCGUCAGCUCGUGUCGUGAGAUGUUGGGUUAAGUCCCGCAACGAGCGCAAC
rnacentral:rRNA from 1 species